CACAAAUUCUAGUGUCGUACCUAGUUUUUUAUGGCCCUGCUAGCAACCUGGGUACAACAAUUUUUGGUGAUCAUCUAUCAUGCGCUGCAACUUUGCUGCUUCCUUCUCAGUUUCGCAAUCUCUGUAUGCAUCUCGUAUCACCUGACCAAGGUCAUCAGUAGGAUCAUUUUCUGCAAACUCAUCUUCAUCAGCCUCGCCCAUUGUAGUACCUGCAAAAGCUUGGCCUGCAACCCAGUCCGGAAUAGUGUCAUCUUCCUCCUCCUCCUCGCCAUCUUCCAUUACAAC
rnacentral:lncRNA from 1 species